UUAUAUAUGAUGAUGGUUUUUCAGUUCAACUGCUGAGUGAUUUCAGAAAUGAACGGAAACUUGGCACUGACCAGA
rnacentral:snoRNA from 1 species